UAGAAUAAACACAGCAGCAGG
rnacentral:piRNA from 1 species